rnacentral:misc_RNA from 1 species
UAGAUUUGAAAAUCCUUUUCCAGAAUUAAUGUAUACUGAUUAAUACGUGUCUGUUGCAAUUUGUUUCGGUUUAUAGAGCAGUGCGGAGCGUGAGGUACAUACGAGUGUAUGUGAAGUUUUUCGACAUUUUUUUAUUGCAUUUGCUCACUUUCGUUCAUCUGUGGAGCCGUAAUAUUGGCAGGAUCGGUAUCGCCAGGAAGCGCUUUCACCUAGUCGAGUGCCAAAAUAAAACUGAGAAGGAAAGCUUUUCACAUUUUUUAACAUUAAAAAUAUACUUUUCUUUCAUAGAACCUUACAAAUAGAAAUAAAAAAUGCCGCGAAUUAUGAUAAAGGGUGGUGUCUGGCGGAAUACAGAGGAUGAGAUUUUGAAAGCGGCUGUAAUGAAAUAUGGUAAAAACCAAUGGAGUCGUAUAGCAUCUUUAUUACAUAGAAAAUCAGCCAAACAAUGCAAAGCCCGUUGGUUUGAAUGGCUGGAUCCCAGCAUAAAGAAGACUGAAUGGAGUCGAGAAGAAGAUGAAAAGCUUCUCCAUCUUGCAAAAUUGAUGCCCACACAGUGGCGUACAAUUGCACCAAUCAUUGGUCGAACAGCUGCCCAAUGUUUAGAAAGAUAUGAAUAUUUACUUGAUCAAGCACAAAAGAAGGAAGAAGGAGAUGAUGCUGUAGAUGAUCCUCGUAAACUUAAACCUGGUGAAAUCGAUCCUAAUCCUGAAACCAAACCAGCGAGACCAGAUCCUAAAGAUAUGGAUGAGGAUGAAUUGGAGAUGUUGUCCGAGGCACGUGCUAGGCUAGCAAAUACUCAGGGCAAGAAGGCUAAACGUAAAGCACGUGAAAAACAAUUAGAAGAAGCACGUAGACUUGCAGCUUUACAGAAGCGUAGAGAAUUAAGAGCUGCUGGUAUUACUGUGUCUCAAAAGAAUAAACGCAAACGUGGUGUCAAUUAUAAUACAGAGAUACCGUUUGAGAAACGACCUGCAUCAGGUUUCUAUGACACCUCCAAUGAACAUGUUGAUCCUUUGGCGAUCGAUUUUUCCAGAAUGAGACAACAACACCUAGAUGGUGAACUCCGACAAGAAAAAGAGGAGAUGGAGCGCAGGAAAGAUAAACAGAAAUUGAAACAGCGCAAAGAAAAUGAUAUACCUAUGGGUAUGCUCAAUAAUGAAGAGCCUAUAAAGAAAAGGAGUAAAUUAGUCUUACCAGAACCACAGAUCUCUGAUCAAGAAUUGCAACAAGUCGUGAAGCUUGGUAGAGCUUCGGAAGUUGCACGAGAAGUUGCUACUGAGAGCGGUAUUACACUCUCCGACAGUUUAUUGGCUGAUUAUUCUUUGCCUACAAAUGCAUCAGCAACACCUCGUACUCCAGCUGUUACAGAUAGAAUAUUGCAAGAAGCUCAAAAUGUUAUGGCUCUUACACACGUGGAUACACCAUUAAAAGGCGGGUUGAACACUCCACUGAAUAAUCCCGAUUUUACUGGCGUUGUGCCUCCUACCAAUGUGAUCGCAACGCCGAAUACGAUUUUGGCUACUCCAUUUAGAUCUCAACGCAGCGAUGGAACACCUAUGAAUUCGUUCAACACGCCAAGCGGAGCAUCAGCACGAACGCAAAAUGGAGUUUUAGCGGCAACACCUGUUCGCGAUAAACUUAAUAUAAAUCCAGAUGAAAAUCUAGACGGUUCAGAAACUCCACUCAUACAGACGCAGGCAAGGAACUCGUUACGCACGGUACUGAGUUCUUUACCAGCACCGUGUAACGAUUAUGAAAUAGAUGUCUUCGACGGAGAGGUAAACGAGGAAAGUACUAGUGCGCCUGCAACUGAUAUAAUUGAAGACCAAGCGGAUAUUGAUGCGAGACAACAACAAGAAUUAUUAGAAGAAAAAAAAAGAGAAUUGGCACGUAGAUCGCAAGUAAUUCAAAGAGAAUUACCACGACCUGCAGAUAUAAAUAUGAAUAUUUUAAGACCUUAUAUGGAUACACCAUUGACUGAUUUGCAGAGAGCAGAAGAAUUGAUAAAAAGAGAAAUGAUAACAAUGUUGAACUAUGAUGCGCUACAAAAUCCAACACAGUCAAGUCGAAAAAGUACCGCAAUAUCGUUAGCUCAGGCUCAAACUUAUUUGGAUCAACAUCCAUAUGAUAUUUUUGAAGAGAACGAUCUUCUUAAUGCUAAAAAAAUGUUAACGGACGAAAUGGCAGUUGUAAAGGAAGGAAUGGCACACGGAGAAUUGAGCUUAGAUGCCUACACUACUGUAUGGGAGGAAUGUUUGUCACAAAUUUUAUAUCUUGAAACACAGAAACGAUACACCCGCGCAACGCUAGCCUCAAAAAAAGAUAGAGUGGAAGCAUGCGAGAGAAAAUUAGAAGAGAAUCGUAUGCAUAUGACAGGAGAAGCUAAACGCGCUGCAAGGAUGGAAAAGAAGUUGAAAGUUCUGACUGGAGGUUAUCAAACCAGAGCACAGGUGCUAACGAAGCAGCUACACGAUUUGUGGGAGCAAAUAGAGCAGGCUCAUCUUGAACUAUCGACAUUUAAGUUUUUGCAAACACAGGAAGAAGCGGCGAUUCCGAGAAGAAUAAAUGGCCUCAUGGAAGAUGUAAACAGACAGACAGAGCGAGAACGCUCAUUACAAAUGCGAUACGCUCAACUACAAGACCAGUUGCAGCAGUGUCGAUUAAACGAUGAAUCAUCUUAGGAACACAUUACUUGAAUACAUACAGCAUGUAAUAAGUAUUACUUUACCUUAUUAUGAAUCAAAUAGGAAUUCAAUAUAUAAUGUUCAUUGUUUCCAUAUUAGCUGUAAAUGUUAAUAUUAUUUUUAGGCUUAUAUUUGAUUUAUUUGAUAAGAAUGUGAUGAGAAUAACAGUUAUUGUAUUAAAUGACAAUUCUAUUAUAAUAAAUUUAAAUUUGACUUUUUAAAUUUU